rnacentral:rRNA from 1 species
UACAGAGGUCCCAAGCGUUGUUCGGAUUCACUGGGCGUAAAGGGUGCGUAGGUGGCGGGGCAAGUCUGGUGUGAAAUCCCGGGGCUCAACCCUGGAACUGCACUGGAUACUGCUUUGCUAGAGUACUGGAGAGGGAACUGGAAUUUACGGUGUAGCAGUGAAAUGCGUAGAUAUCGUAAGGAAGACCAGUGGCGAAGGCGAGUUCCUGGACAGUUACUGACACUGAGGCACGAAGGCCAGGGGAGCAAACGGG